rnacentral:rRNA from 1 species
AACGAACGCUGGCGGCAUGCCUAACACAUGCAAGUCGAACGAGACCUUCGGGGCUAGUGGCGCACGGGUGCGUAACGCGUGGGAACCUGCCCUUAGGUUCGGAAUAACUCCCCGAAAGGGGUGCUAAUACCGGAUAAUGUCUUCGGACCAAAGAUUUAUCGCCUUUGGAUGGGCCCGCGUUGGUUUAGCUAGUUGGUAGGGUAAAAGCCUACCAAGGCGACGAUCCAUAGCUGGUCUGAGAGGAUGAUCAGCCACACUGGGACUGAGACACGGCCCAGACUCCUACGGGAGGCAGCAGUGGGGAAUAUUGGACAAUGGGCGAAAGCCUGAUCCAGCAAUGCCGCGUGAGUGAUGAAGGCCUUAGGGUUGUAAAGCUCUUUUAACCGGGAUGAUAAUGACAGUACCGGGAGAAUAAGCUCCGGCUAACUCCGUG